rnacentral:misc_RNA from 1 species
GACGUAGGGUCCGAGCGUUGUCCGGAGUUACUGGGCGUAAAGCGCGCGCAGGCGGUUUCAUACGUCGGGUGUGAUAGCCCCCCGCUCAACGGGGGAGGGUCAUUCGAAACGGUGGAACUGGAGGCAGGGAGAGGUCGGUGGAAUUCCCGGUGUAGUGGUGAAAUGCGUAGAGAUCGGGAGGAACAUCAGUGGCGAAGGCGGCCGACUGGACCUGGCCUGACGCUGAGGCGCGAAAGCGUGGGGAGCAAACAGG